UACGUAGGGGGCAAGCGUUGUCCGGAUUUAUUGGGCGUAAAGAGCGUGUAGGCGGCCAGGUAGGUCUGCUGUGAAAACUCGAGGCUCAACCUCGAGACGUCGGCGGAAACCAUCUGGCUAGAGUCCGGAAGAGGAGAGUGGAAUUCCUGGUGUAGCGGUGAAAUGCGCAGAUAUCAGGAGGAACACCGGUGGCGAAGGCGGGUCUCUGGGCAUUAACUGACGCUGAGGAGCGAAAGCAUGGGGAGCGAACAGG
rnacentral:rRNA from 1 species